UGAUCCUGGCUCAGAUUGAACGCUGGCGGCAGGCCUAACACAUGCAAGUCGAGCGGUAGCGGGAAGAGCUUGCUCUUUGCCGACGAGCGGCGGACGGGUGCGUAACACGUAGGAAUCUGCCCGGUAGUGGGGGAUAGCCCGGAGAAAUCCGGAUUAAUACCGCAUACGCACUAGCUCUUUAAGAGCGGUGGAAAGCAGGGGAUCGGUUCGCCGACCUUGCGCUAUCGGAUGAGCCUGCGUCGGAUUAGCUUGUUGGUGGGGUAAAGGCCCACCAAGGCAACGAUCCGUAGCUGGUCUGAGAGGAUGAUCAGCCACACUGGGACUGAGACACGGCCCAGACUCCUACGGGAGGCAGCAGA
rnacentral:rRNA from 1 species